ACUGCACUAAUGGCGGUGCAGGCAGCGCAGUGUAAACAAAACGUAGCUAUUGCCAUGCUUGAUAGAAGGUGCACCUUACGCCGAGUGACAACUUUAACAGUUGUGAGCAAGUGAAAGGGUGGUCACCAAAACGUGACAAGCAAGUGCAGAAUGGCCUUGAAGCCGGCUCCUUUGUGGAUUGGCAAGCCCUUGGUGGGGUGUGGUCCAGACAUUGGCUGCUUCCAUCAUACCUGGUCUUUUUUCUUCUGACCAGCUCAUCGCUGCAGCAGCUCAUUACAAAUCAGUGGGAGCAUGCAGUUCAUUCAUUCAUACUGGUGUCCGCUGUGGUAACUCUGGCUACAGUGUUGUUGCGCUGCUGUGCACGAGUGUGCGGGUUCAAUCUCAGCCGUGGCAUCUGCAUUCUGAUGGGGCAGAAUGUGAAAGUGCUUGGGUACCAUGCAUUGGGUGCCUGUUAAAGAAACCCAGGUGGUCAAAAUUGAACGGGUCCUGGUACUAAUGCAUGCCUCAUAACUUAUCGUGCAGUUUCAGAAUCUAAAAGGAGACUUAAGCGAAGCACUUAAUUAACUUAGACUGAUAAAGUGUGUCUUGAAACUCUAUUCUCGUUAAUUGCAUGAUAAUAAGUUGAAAGUUGAAGAGAACAUAAGAUCGGAGUACCAUUUCCUGAAUUUUACGCCGAAGCCCCAAUGGCAGUAAGGCAAUGUGAUGUCACGAAUUUGAAAACAUUUUGUUCGUAUUUGGAUGCUGUUGGCUCGGUAAAAGUUCCCAAAGCUUGCCAUGUUCAAUCUUUCUUUGUUCAAAACACAAUGUAGCCCAUUUUUAUCGAUAAGCAAUUAAAUAGGUCCUAGUAGGUGCCGUCAAAAUAUUUGGUGCCGAAAUUUGAAGGCGGCAUCACCACCUAUGUUUCCUGUUUCAUCCUUUUUUGGUUUACCAAGCAUAUUCUCACGGUAACAUAAUGUUAGCAUGAAAUUACGAGAGGACACCAAAGCAUAACCAGCUUUUCACAUUUAGCAGUGAUUGCCAAUUCCCUAUCUGGCUUUUGAAAUGGGUUGUCAGUGUAACUUGUCCCAAUGAUUACUUUAUUGCUAUGGUAAUCUUAUCCACAGCUUGCAGGCAGAUGGGGGCAAAACAUCCACUUUUGCUGUUGGCAUAAAGAUUGGGCUUCAGGGGACCCUUAAAAAAAGUUGUGCGAAACUGGUUUUAAACAAAAUAUACCGUAUUUACUUGAGGAAUUUGUGCACCCUUAGGGGGACAGGGUAAGCGAAAAUUCUGACAAAAAUGUAUUUUUGUUCUUUUCUAAAUAUGAAAGUGAAUUGUUUUCUAAAUCCUUUCCAGUUUCACACUUCAUCCUAAAAUGGGUCAAAGAAUGUCUAAAAAAGUGUUGGCAGAGUGAAAAAUGUGUGAUUGAUGUUAUUGUUUACUUUGAACUCAGUUUUUCCAAAACAAGAUUUUACGUUAUGUCGGUACCAUUAUUUUCAGUAUGACAAAAGGUAGCACAAUUUUUUCUGCGCAAACUGAAUGGUUGUAUGUCAUUAUACUGUGCCAAAAUUAAAGCUGUAGAAUAAAUAGUUCUUGUUUGAUAAGAAAAUGUACAAAAAUUUGUUUAAAAUUAGGUAUGGGCAAAAAAAAAUGUUAAUAAUUUGCUUUUUUGGAUAAUAAAAUACUUUUGGUACAGUAGAUAGAAGACAAAGUACAAACGCCUAGCCGAUAUCUCUAUUCCACUAUGUGCCCAAAAAUACAUGUGAAGUGUUAAAUUAACACCCUGGUUUUUGAAAAAAAUCUGACAGAAUCCAUUCACGAUGAAUGUUGACGUGUCUGCGAUUAGUGUUGAAGCAAUGUAUUAAUGCACCGUAUUGCAACUGCUGAAACACAUUGUGUAUGAGGCGUGUAUAUAGCCGGGAGGCUCUCUCACUCCUCAGAACACGCUGCAUCAUUGAGCGCCACCGCAGCAAAGUCCCAGUGCGGCAUGUGUGCAGACAAAAUUUAUUAUUUAUGACACAAGUUUGACUCCGCCCACCACCGGUGAAAUUUAAAUAUCUUUUUCCAUGAAGACCCGCACAUACACAGUGGCACAAGUUGGCGUCAAAAGGGCUCAUUGAAGGGCGGCAUGUCCCCAGCUACAUAUAGCCAGCACAAGUAAGCGUAAAAGACAUAUUGAAAAGUAGCACUUGUGUUGGGACAAUACCCAGUGACCCAAUUUCACAAAGAGGUUCAUUGAACUGUGGCACACAUCUAGUUUCACAUGUGCAGGGAUCCAAGUUAGGAUGAACGGAGUUCAUGGAAGAGCUGUAGUUAAGCAUUGACACAUACCCAGUACCACACGUUGGCAUGAAGCAGAUUAACUGAUAAGCGGCACGUACACAGUGUCACAUACCCGUGACCCAAGUUGGCCCAACGAUUAGCUUCAAACCUGGUUCCCUUAUCACAGCAGCCCAGUGCUCUAACCAUUAGACCAUGGACUACGAGGGACCCAAGUUGGUGGUAAGACGGUUAGAGACACUGACAGAGAGGCAUAAAGCCCCUGAAAAGUGCAUGACAUUCCCUAGGAAUGCUUAUCAUAUUAAAAGCUUUUCAUUGCAUAAUUUGCGCACCCUGUCCUGCCCGCAGCAGGCUGUCGAUGCGCGUGCACAAGGCAGGGUUGGGGAGAUCGGCACCGCUUCAAUGUUGCCCGCAAUCGCUAUGCCAGUGCUGCAGUUGCUGUAGAUGACAAGCGACCGGGGAAGGGUCGCUUGUCAA